GGGUCAGUAGGUUGGUCGUGCCACCGGUACGUACUGGUCUCACUGAUUCCUCCUUCCUGAAGAACCGUAAUGCCAUUAAUUUGGUGUUGCGGGGAAACAGGACUGUUACUUUGAAAGAAUUAGAGUGUUUAAAGCAAGCUAACGCUUGAAUACAUUAGCAUGGAAUAAUGAAAUAGGACGAUCGAUCCUAUUUUGUUGGUUUCUAGGAUUGACGUA
rnacentral:rRNA from 1 species